GAUGACUUAGUAGUCAUCUUGUUUCCUAUUUCUAGAAUUCUCAAGAAACUUGGAGAAAAGAGGGGGAAAAAAAUAAGAGAGGAAAAUUGGCAUAGCUAGGAAUUUUUCCCUUGAAAUCUUGUGCCAAAAAAAUUAAUUCUUCUAAUAUUCCAAGCAAGUUGAAGACCCUAAUCAACAUAGAAGGAUUGUUGGAACAAGAAGACUAUUCAUUCUUGCAAGGCACAAUUCUAGCAAGUUGAAGAACUAAGUGGAAAAGAUUUUGGGAAAGCCAAGAGUUAAGUGGGAUUGACUAAGGAAGCGGACAAGGUGAGACAAAGCGAUCAUGGCUAGUCUAUAAUACAAUCGGAGGUUACCGACCUUCCGUCACUCCGAUAGAUACAUGACUUUCGUUGAGCUCUCCUGCAUGCUGUCUAUAUGUAUAUGUAUAUGUAUAUGAGGAAUAUGGGGAGGUGUAUAUGUGGCGCUAUAGACGCAUUCCCACCUGAUCAGUUGGAGUAAUUUUCAUCUUGGACGCGGGAUGCCCGGACGCGGGACAUAUGUGGGCACGCCGACGUUGUUCGGUGAUAUGACUUCUAUUUUCUAUGCAUAUGAAAAAGAUAUGUUUUAUAUGAUAAGACAAGCAUGCAUGGCAUCCGGCCUAAAAGGGCACUCAUAUGUACAGGUAGGCAGGCGGACGAGUUCGGUCCUUAGGAGCUCCACUAGCAGUACACCAAGAGCGCUCCAGUUGUUUCGGAGCUUCAUUUUAUCGGUACUAGUUUUGUGUAUAUAUUUGGGCACAGCAGAAACCGGCCCUCCUUGUGGUCAUCUGUAUCUUGUUUAGAGGCUCGUAGACAGACAUGUACAGCUAGAUGUUUUGCAACUUUGUUCGUCGCUGUGUAAUAUGUUAGCAAAGUCUGUUGACACAUGGUUAUAAUGAUGCUAUUAACACUGGUA